rnacentral:rRNA from 1 species
CGAGCAUCACAAACGUUAUUCGGAAUUACUGGGCUUAAAGGGUGCGUAGGCGGUGUAGCAAGUCGGGAGUGAAAUCCCGCAGCUCAACUGCGGAAUUGCUUUCGAUACUGCUGCGCUUGAGUGAGAUAGAGGUAAGCGGAACUUAGGGUGGAGCGGUGAAAUGCGUUGAUAUCGAGAGGAACACCAGUGGCGAAGGCGGCUCACUGGGCACCACCUGACGCUGAGGCGCGAAAGCGUGGGGAGCGAACCGG